rnacentral:rRNA from 1 species
UGAACCUUCGGGGAACGAUAACGGCGUCGAGCGGCGGACGGGUGAGUAAUGCCUGGGAAAUUGCCCUGAUGUGGGGGAUAACCAUUGGAAACGAUGGCUAAUACCGCAUAAUAGCUUCGGCUCAAAGAGGGGGACCUUCGGGCCUCUCGCGUCAGGAUAUGCCCAGGUGGGAUUAGCUAGUUGGUGAGGUAAUGGCUCACCAAGGCGACGAUCCCUAGCUGGUCUGAGAGGAUGAUCAGCCACACUGGAACUGAGACACGGUCCAGACUCCUACGGGAGGCAGCAGUGGGGAAUAUUGCACAAUGGGCGCAAGCCUGAUGCAGCCAUGCCGCGUGUAUGAAGAAGGCCUUCGGGUUGUAAAGUACUUUCAGCAGUGAGGAAGGUGAUAGUGUUAAUAGCACUAUCAUUUGACGUUAGCUGCAGAAGAAGCACCGGCUAACUCCGUGCCAGCAGCCGCGGUAAUACGGAGGGUGCGAGCGUUAAUCGGAAUUACUGGGCGUAAAGCGCAUGCAGGUGGUUUGUUAAGUCAGAUGUGAAAGCCCGGGGCUCAACCUCGGAAUUGCAUUUGAAACUGGCAGACUAGAGUACUGUAGAGGGGGGUAGAAUUUCAGGUGUAGCGGUGAAAUGCGUAGAGAUCUGAAGGAAUACCGGUGGCGAAGGCGGCCCCCUGGACAGAUACUGACACUCAGAUGCGAAAGCGUGGGGAGCAAACAGGAUUAGAUACCCUGGUAGUCCACGCCGUAAACGAUGUCUACUUGGAGGUUGUGGCCUUGAGCCGUGGCUUUCGGAGCUAACGCGUUAAGUAGACCGCCUGGGGAGUACGGUCGCAAGAUUAAAACUCAAAUGAAUUGACGGGGGCCCGCACAAGCGGUGGAGCAUGUGGUUUAAUUCGAUGCAACGCGAAGAACCUUACCUACUCUUGACAUCCAUAGAACUUUCCAGAGAUGGAUUGGUGCCUUCGGGAACUAUGAGACAGGUGCUGCAUGGCUGUCGUCAGCUCGUGUUGUGAAAUGUUGGGUUAAGUCCCGCAACGAGCGCAACCCUUAUCCUUGUUUGCCAGCGAGUAAUGUCGGGAACUCCAGGGAGACUGCCGGUGAUAAACCGGAGGAAGGUGGGGACGACGUCAAGUCAUCAUGGCCCUUACGAGUAGGGCUACACACGUGCUACAAUGGCGCAUACAGAGGGCGGCCAACUUGCGAAAGUGAGCGAAUCCCAAAAAGUGCGUCGUAGUCCGGAUUGGAGUCUGCAACUCGACUCCAUGAAGUCGGAAUCGCUAGUAAUCGUAGAUCAGAAUGCUACGGUGAAUACGUUCCCGGGCCUUGUACACACCGCC